CCUACGGGUGGCAGCAGUGGGGAAUCUUGGACAAUGGGCGCAAGCCUGAUCCAGCCAUGCCGCGUGAGUGAUGAAGGCCUUAGGGUUGUAAAGCUCUUUCGGCGGGGAAGAUAAUGACGGUACCCGCAGAAGAAGCCCCGGCUAACUUCGUGCCAGCAGCCGCGGUAAUACGAAGGGGGCUAGCGUUGCUCGGAAUCACUGGGCGUAAAGCGCACGUAGGCGGAUUUCUAAGUCAGGGGUGAAAUCCCGGAGCUCAACUCCGGAACUGCCUUUGAUACUGGAGAUCUUGAGUCCGGAAGAGGUGAGUGGAACUCCGAGUGUAGAGGUGAAAUUCGUAGAUAUUCGGAAGAACACCGGUGGCGAAGGCGGCUCACUGGUCCGGUACUGACGCUGAGGUGCGAAAGCGUGGGGAGCAAACAGGAUUAGAUACCCUAGUAGUC
rnacentral:rRNA from 1 species